UACGUAGGGGGCAAGCGUUGUCCGGAAUCAUUGGGCGUAAAGCGCACGUAGGCGGCUUAGCAAGUCGGAAGUGAAAUCCCUCGGCUCAACCAAGGAAGUGCUUUCGAAACUGCUGAGCUUGAGUACUAAAGAGGAUCGCGGAAUUCCCGGUGUAGAGGUGAAAUUCGUAGAUAUCGGGAGGAACACCAGUGGCGAAGGCGGCGAUCUGGGUAGAUACUGACGCUGAGGUGCGAAAGCGUGGGGAGCAAACAGG
rnacentral:rRNA from 1 species